GUUGCUUUGGCAGAGUGGUUAAGGCGUGUGCCUGCUAAGUACAUGGGGUUUCCACGCGAGAGUUUGAAUCUCUCUAGCAACG
rfam:Ipomoea nil DNA, scaffold: scaffold1525, cultivar: Tokyo-kokei standard.